rnacentral:misc_RNA from 1 species
GCUUCAUAAGAGGCAGGAGAGAACAUCAUAUAGGGUUGCACAAGGGGUAAUGCAGGGGGAAGAGAAGAAACUGGUUUAGGAGGAGGUUGUUUCCUUUCUUCUUUUCUGAUGAUCUCGAGGGCAAGCUCAAAAAUGGGAAGAGGUUUCUUCUGUUUGGUUUCUUCAUGGAUGCCAAUCCAUGGGCUAUUAUCUGGAUAAUCUCUUCUGAGAACUUGCUGAGGUUUGCAAGAGGCCUUCUUGGUCUUCUUAGUAAUCUUCUUCCAGUUUUUAUCAGAUAAAUGAUGGUCAUAUUCAUUUUUCCAGUAGUUAUCACAACAGUCACAGUCUUCAUAACACAUUUCAGAUCCUGGGAGAUCCCAG